GAACCGCUCAGGGGUAAACGGGAGAGGUCCGGAUCUGCCAGGAAAGGGAGACUCAGUCUCGUCCGGCGCCGGAGGCCUCCGGUCACGUCGGGAUGUUGACGGCCGCCGGUCGAGCCGCGAGGCUCGCGCCGGGUUCGCGUAGCCGUGACACCUGACCGGUCAGGUCGAUAGUCCAGGCGUCGGCGAGGUGCACUUCUCUCCUCUCGAGCACGUCGCGACUCGUCGGGGUGCGGGUCGGAGGCCCGGGGUGGAGCCCCGUCGGCACGGGGUCGUCCUUCUCGGGGCGGCUCUCGUUUGUCGGCGGGACCCCCGGACGCCGAGCGGGCCCGAGCCCGACGGUAGGUCAAACUCUCUUCUUCGGUGUCGCCAGUCAACGGCGUCCGAGCCGAGUCGGUUUUGCGAGCCCGUCGCGUGUGAGCCACCGGCAGCCGUGGCAUCCGCCACGUCGCCGCGCACCGACGGCCGCCCCUCGGUCGACAUCGGACGGCACCCGAAGAG
rnacentral:rRNA from 1 species